rnacentral:rRNA from 1 species
AUACGGAGGGUCCAAGCGUUAUCCGGAAUCAUUGGGUUUAAAGGGUCCGUAGGCGGGAAUCUAAGUCAGUGGUGAAAUCUUGCAGCUCAACUGUAAAAUUGCCAUUGAUACUGGAUUUCUUGAAUUAGUGUGAAGUGGUUAGAAUGUGUAGUGUAGCGGUGAAAUGCAUAGAUAUUACACAGAAUACCAAUUGCGAAGGCAGAUCACUAACACUAUAUUGACGCUAAGGGACGAAAGCGUGGGGAGCGAACAGGAUUAGAAACCCGUGUAGUCC